AUGCGUAAAAAGGAGAACAUAGAUAUUGAAUGGACAUUGCAGUAUAUUGAGAAGCUACAAAUUGAUACUCCUGGUUUCUGCUACAGGAUGCAAAGAGAUACAGACAACAUGGUUCUCAGCUUGUUCUGGACAGAUGCUCGUUCCCGAUUGAACUACAGGUUGUUUGGUGAGAUCAUUUCAUUUGACACCACUUAUAGCACAAAUAAGUAUCACAUGCCUUUUGCGCCUAUAGUGGGAAUUAAUGGCCAUGGAAGAACAAUUGUGUUUGGUUGGGCGCUAUUGCAAGAUGAAACUUCAGAUACUUUUGUGUGGCUAUUUGAAACUUUCAUGGAGGUCAUGCAGUGGAAAAAAACAGGAAUAAUAUUGACUGACCAAGAUGCAGGGAUGAAAGAUGCUAUUCCUCAAGUAUUUCCAAAUGCGUUACAUAGGUUCUGUCUUUGGCAUAUAUUUAAAAAUGUGCGGGAA
rnacentral:rRNA from 1 species